GAACGCUGGCGGCGUGCCUAACACAUGCAAGUCGAGCGGAGCCAAUUAACAGAUCCCUUCGGGGUGAAGUUGAGGAACGCUUAGCGGCGGACGGGUGAGUAACGCGUGAGUAACCUGCCUGUAANAGGGGGGAUAACACAGAGAAAUCUGUGCUAAUACCGCAUAUUGAGUAUUUAUUGCAUGAUAAAUACUUGAAAGAUUUAUCGCUUACAGAUGGACUCGCGUCUGAUUAGCUAGUUGGUAAGGUAACGGCUUACCAAGGCGACGAUCAGUAGCCGAACUGAGAGGUUGAUCGGCCACAUUGGGACUGAGACACGGCCCAAACUCCUACGGGAGGCAGCAGUGGGGAAUAUUGCACAAUGGGGGAAACCCUGAUGCAGCGACGCCGCGUGAGCGAUGAAGUAUUUCGGUAUGUAAAGCUCUAUCAGCAAGGAAGAUAAUGACGGUACUUGACUAAGAAGCCCCGGCUAACUACGUG
rnacentral:rRNA from 1 species